CUAAGGGAGCUAGCGUUGUUCGGAAUCACUGGGCGUAAAGCGCACGUAGGCGGAUUUGUAAGUCAGGGGGUGAAAUCCCGGGGCUCAACCUCGGACUGCCUCUGAUACUGCAAAUCUCGAGUCCGGAAGAGGUGGGUGGAAUUCCUAGUGUAGAGGUGAAAUUCGUAGAUAUUAGGAAGAACACCGGUGGCGAAGGCGGCCCACUGGUCCGGUACUGACGCUGAGGUGCGAAAGCGUGGGGAGCAAACAGGAUU
rnacentral:rRNA from 1 species